rnacentral:rRNA from 1 species
UUCUGGCUCAGGACGAACGCUGGCGGCGUGCUCAUACAUGCAAGUCGAACGAGAAGCUGACUUCGGUCAGUGGAAAGUGGCGGACGGGUGAGUAAUAUGUAGAGAAUCUGCCCUUGAGUGGGGGACAACAGAGGGAAACUUCUGCUAAUACCCCAUAUGAGCUAACUUGAAAUAGUUAUCUUGAAAACUCCGGUGCUCAAGGAUGAGUCUGCAUCUGAUUAGCUAGUUGGCGGUGUAAUGGACCACCAAGGCGACGAUCAGUAGCUGGUUUGAGAGGAUGAUCAGCCACAAUGGGACUGAGACACGGCCCAUACUCCUACGGGAGGCAGCAGUAGGGAAUUUUGCGCAAUGGGCGAAAGCCUGAACCGCAGCAACGCCGCGUGAACGAUUAAGCCCUUCGGGGUGUAAAGUUCUGUCAGUAGGGACGAAUUUUGACGGUACCUACAGAGGAAGCACCGGCUAACUCCGUGCCAGCAGCUGC